rnacentral:hammerhead_ribozyme from 1 species
ACCCAGCUGACGAGCCCCCAAAUAGGACUAAACGCGCGUCCCGGAU